UACGUAGGGGGCAAGCGUUGUCCGGAUUUACUGGGCGUAAAGAGCGUGUAGGCGGCCACGCAGGUCCGUUGUGAAAACUGGAGGCUCAACCUUCAGACGUCGACGGAAACCGUGUGGCUAGAGUCCGGAAGAGGAGAGUGGAAUUCCUGGUGGUAGCGGUGAAAUGCGCAGAUAUCAGGAAGAACACCAAUGGCGAAGGCAGCUCUCUGGGACGGUACUGACGCUGAGACGCGAAAGCGUGGGGAGCGAACAGG
rnacentral:rRNA from 1 species